rnacentral:lncRNA from 1 species
AAGCUCAACCUUAUCGACAUCUGCGGUUCGAGCUUGCACGGGCCUGAUAAGAUUACUUAAUUUUUAUAUUAUCUUUAUUGUUAUUAGUUAGUUUUGUUGUUAUUAGUUAGUUGUAAUUCUUGGGAUUGGUUGUUUUGUAUUGAUUAAUCUGUUAACUGCCCAUAUACCAGAAAGGUUUGUUAGCUGGUAUAUAUAUACUUAGUUUUGUACUGU